rnacentral:rRNA from 1 species
UACGGAGGGGGCGAGCGUUGUCCGGAAUCACUGGGCGUAAAGGGCGCGUAGGCGGCCUGAUAAGUCGGGGGUGAAAUCCUGCGGCUUAACCGCAGGGCUGCCUUCUAAACUGUCAGGCUGGAGCACAGUAGAGGCAGGUGGAAUUCCCGGUGUAGCGGUGGAAUGCGUAGAGAUCGGGAAGAACAUCAGUGGCGAAGGCGGCCUGCUGGGCUGUUGCUGACGCUGAGGCGCGACAGCGUGGGGAGCAAACAGG